rnacentral:rRNA from 1 species
CCUACGGGAGGCAGCAGUGGGGAAUUUUGGACAAUGGGCGAAAGCCUGAUCCAGCCAUUCCGCGUGAGUGAAGAAGGCCUUCGGGUUGUAAAGCUCUUUCGCAAGGGAAGAAAACUUAGUCUCUAACAUAGACUGAGGUUGACGGUACCUUGAUAAGAAGCACCGGCUAACUACGUGCCAGCAGCCGCGGUAAUACGUAGGGUGCGAGCGUUAAUCGGAAUUACUGGGCGUAAAGCGUGCGCAGGCGGUUUUGUAAGUCAGAUGUGAAAUCCCCGAGCUCAACUUGGGAACUGCGUUUGAAACUACAAGACUAGAAUAUGUCAGAGGGGGGUAGAAUUCCACGUGUAGCAGUGAAAUGCGUAGAGAUGUGGAGGAAUACCAAUGGCGAAGGCAGCCCCCUGGGAUAAUAUUGACGCUCAUGCACGAAAGCGUGGGGAGCAAACAGGAUUAGAUACCCUGGUAGUCCACGCCCUAAACGAUGUCUACUAGUUGUUGGUGGAGUAAAAUCCAUGAGUAACGCAGCUAACGCGUGAAGUAGACCGCCGNGGGAGGUACGGUCGCGAGAGUUAAACGUACGAAGAAGUAGAGGCGNGAGAGNGCGAGGACGACGACGAGGGAGGAGG